rnacentral:rRNA from 1 species
UUAAGUUAAUAAGGGCGCACGGUGGAUGCCUUGGCACUAGAAGCCGAUGAAGGACGUGACUAACGACGAAAUGCUUUGGGGAGCUGUAAGUGAGCAAUGAUCCAGAGAUGUCCGAAUGGGGGAACCCGGCAGGUAAUGCCUGUCACUCAUUACUGUUAAGGUAAUGUAGAGGAAGACGCAGUGAACUGAAACAUCUAAGUAGCUGUAGGAAGAGAAAGCAAAAGCGAUUGCCUUAGUAGCGGCGAGCGAAACGGCAAGAGGGCAAACCGAAGAGUUUACUCUUCGGGGUUGUAGGACUGCAACGUGGACUUAAAGAUUAUAGAAGAACUACCUGGGAAGGUAGGCCAAAGAGAGUAAUAGCCUCGUAUUCGAAAUAGUCUUUAUACCUAGCAGUAUCCUGAGUACGGCGAGACACGAGAAAUCUCGUCGGAAUCUGGGAGGACCAUCUCCCAACCCUAAAUACUCUCUAGUGACCGAUAGUGAACCAGUACCGUGAGGGAAAGGUGAAAAGCACCCCGGGAGGGGAGUGAAAUAGAACCUGAAACCGUGUGCCUACAACAAGUUCGAGCCCGUUAAUGGGUGAGAGCGUGCCUUUUGUAGAAUGAACCGGCGAGUUACGAUAUGAUGCGAGGUUAAGUUGAAGAGACGGAGCCGUAGGGAAACCGAGUCUUAAUAGGGCGCAUUAGUAUCAUGUCGUAGACCCGAAACCAUGUGACCUACCCAUGAGCAGGUUGAAGGUGAGGUAAAACUCACUGGAGGACCGAACCAGGGCACGUUGAAAAGUGCUUGGAUGACUUGUGGGUAGCGGAGAAAUUCCAAACGAACUUGGAGAUAGCUGGUUCUCUCCGAAAUAGCUUUAGGGCUAGCGUCGAUGUUAAGUCUCUUGGAGGUAGAGCACUGUUUGGGUGAGGGGUCCAUCCCGGAUUACCAAUCUCAGAUAAACUCCGAAUGCCAAUGAGAUAUAAUCGGCAGUCAGACUGCGAGUGCUAAGAUCCGUAGUCGAAAGGGAAACAGCCCAGACCACCAGCUAAGGUCCCAAAAUAUAUGUUAAGUGGAAAAGGAUGUGGGGUUGCACAGACAACUAGGAUGUUAGCUUGGAAGCAGCUAUUCAUUCAAAGAGUGCGUAAUAGCUCACUAGUCGAGUGACCCUGCGCCGAAAAUGUACCGGGGCUAAAACAUAUUACCGAAGCUGUGGAUACCUUUAUAGGUAUGGUAGGAGAGCGUUCUAUGUGCGAAGAAGGUGUACCGUGAGGAGUGCUGGAGCGCAUAGAAGUGAGAAUGCCGGUAUGAGUAGCGAAAGACAGGUGAGAAUCCUGUCCACCGUAAGACUAAGGUUUCCAGGGGAAGGCUCGUCCGCCCUGGGUUAGUCGGGACCUAAGGAGAGACCGAAAGGUGUAUCCGAUGGACAACAGGUUGAUAUUCCUGUACUAGAGUAUAUAGUGAUGGAGGGACGCAGUAGGCUAACUAAACCAGACGAUUGGAAGUGUCUGGCCAAGCAGUGAGGUGUGAUAUGAGUCAAAUGCUUAUAUCUUUAACAUUGAGCUGUGAUGGGGAGCGAAGUUUAGUAGCGAAGUUAGUGAUGUCACACUGCCGAGAAAAGCUUCUAGCGUUAAUUAUACUCUACCCGUACCGCAAACCGACACAGGUAGUCGAGGCGAGUAGCCUCAGGUGAGCGAGAGAACUCUCGUUAAGGAACUCGGCAAAAUGGCCCCGUAACUUCGGGAGAAGGGGCGCUGACUUAUGGUCAGCCGCAGUGAAUAGGCCCAAGCAACUGUUUAUCAAAAACACAGCUCUCUGCUAAAUCGUAAGAUGAUGUAUAGGGGGUGACGCCUGCCCGGUGCUGGAAGGUUAAGAGGAGUGCUUAGCGUAAGCGAAGGCAUGAAUUGAAGCCCCAGUAAACGGCGGCCGUAACUAUAACGGUCCUAAGGUAGCGAAAUUCCUUGUCGGGUAAGUUCC